GGAGAUAUAGCUCAGAGGUACAGCACAUACUUAGCAUGCACGAAGUCCUGGGUUCAAUCCCCAGUACCUCCA
rnacentral:tRNA from 1 species